UGGGGAAUAUUGCACAAUGGAGGGAACUCUGAUGCAGCGACGCCGCGUGAGUGAUGAAGGAAUUCGUUUCGUAAAACUCUGUUCUAUGGGAAGAAAAGGACUGUACCAUAGGAGAAAGCUCCGGCUAAAUACGUGCCAGCAGCCGCGGUAAUACGUAUGGAGCGAGCGUUGUCCGGAAUUAUUGGGCGUAAAGGGUGCGCAGGCGGCUUUACAAGUUGGAUGUGAAAUAUUGUGGCUCAACCACAAACGUGCAUCCAAAACUGCAAAGCUUGAGUUAAGGAGGGGUAAGUGGAAUUCCUGGUGUAGCGGUGGAAUGCGUAGAUAUCAGGAGGAAUACCGGUGGCGAAGGCGACUUACUGGAAUUAAACUGACGAUCAGGCACGAAAGCGUGGGGAACAAACAGG
rnacentral:rRNA from 1 species